CUUCAUGGAGAUACAGUAAUAGCCCCUACUCUAAUAGAACAUGAUAAACAUGAAAAGAAAUCAGGUAAUAACUGAUAACAGAACAAAAUAAGGUGAGAUAGCGUAGCCUGAGUGGGUGGGGAUGACCACUUAGCGAGAAAAGACUUCUCUGAACACUGAGGUCACCACUCGACCAGCGGAGGCCCACUGCGCUUAGCCAUAAGCAUAAAGCAUUCCAGUAGCAAAAUUAUUACACUCAAAACCAGGUUAGUAAUUUCUGGGCAUGUGAGAGCCAGUGUGGCUGGACUGCCACGUAGCAGAGGAGGAGCUGGGGUUGGAGGAAGUCAGGGACGGUCUUGGAUUUAUAAGCCAUGCUUACUGAACUUCAGGUAUAUCCAAAUCUCCAGAGAUUACCUGCCCAGCACGCCAGGUGAUGCCACUGCACCUGGGCCUGGCUCCUGCCUUGACCAGCAGGAGCUGGGUCCUCAGAGCAAGCAGCAUCACCUGGACAGUUCCUAGAGCACAUGCUCAGCGUAGCCUGGACCUACUUACUGAGUCAGGAACUUGGGGCCAGUCUCCGUGGGAGUGAUUGUGAUGCAUGCUAAUACUUAAAAACCAGUGCAAAGUGGGAAAAACGAUUUAGGAAAAGAUUGCACAAUUGCCCCCAAGGUGCUCCAAUGUACCAUUUGUACUUGUUUUCAACAGUUUGUCUGAUUUCCAGUCUAAAUGCUGGGGAUAGGGUCUGCUAGCACAGGUUGAGUGUCCCUACUCCUUCUAUCCAAAAUCCUUCUCCAAAAUCUGAAGCUUUGAGAGCGGACGUGAUGCCGCAACUUGGAGAUCCCAGGAUACUUCAUGUCCUGCACAAAAGCUGAUGAAUCAUGUACCUUCAAGCUGUUUGGGUAAGGUUUAUGUGAAACAUAAGUGAAGUUCAUGUUAAGAUUUGAGUCCCAUCCCCAAGAUGUUGUAUUACGAGUAUGCAGAUAUUCCAACAUCCAAAAAAUGUGAAAUCCAAAAUGCUCAUGAUUGCAAGCACUUGGGUACGGAAUACUCACCCUGUAGUGUAUAAUACAAGUCCCGCCCUUUACUGAUUUGUAAUCUGAGGACACAGAAACGCACUCGUGGGGACACCUGUCCGCACCACUUGGGACAACCACGUCCCAUGCUGGAGCCCCUGGAUUUGAGUCCUGGCUCUGCUUCAGAUCCAGCUCCUUGCUAACACGCACCCUGAAUGGCGGCAGAUGAUGGCUCAUGUAUUGGGUUCCCCCACUAUGUGGGAGACCCGUGAGUUCUGGGCUUCUGGGUUCUACUGGGCCCCAGCCCCAGCUAUUGUGGACAUCUGGGGAGUGGGCCAGUAGAAGGAAUAUAUUUCCUCUGUAUGUUUAAAGUACAUCCAAACAACAAAGAUUAAAAUGUAGAGUUCCAGGGAAAACUUCAUAAACAUAAACUCACUGACUGACUACGCAAGGUAAGAAAGGAGGGCUCUAAGGUAGGAUUUCUAGAAGAAAAAAGAAAUUGGAAGAAUCUCACCUAUAAGUUAUUGCUAUUAAUGUCUCCAUCAGCUUAAAUCCUUUCUUACCACUUUGAAAGACUUAACAGUGUUUUGAAUAGAUGCUGUUAAUUUGCCUUACUGCCCAAAAUAUAUUAGAGAUCUAGUCAAUGAUAGAUCUGGAAUAUAAGAACAAAACCUGUCUACUUAUAUUCAAAGUUACUUACCCGAGUUUAAGUUGAAAUUAUAGGCUAUGAGCCAUCAUUUAAUGUUUUAUUUCUUGUAUGUUUGUGUUCUGAAUCAAUGACAUUUAAUACUGAAACUCGUAUUUUAGUGCCUUUCUCCUCAUUAGCUGCAAUUCUCAUAACAAGUCUACAUACAGAAACCAGAGAAUACCUUCAUAUUUACUCCUCCCAGGGUGCUCUUGGAGCUGUCGCUGGUUCUGAGGUUGUUACAGUGAUGGAUCUCAUUCCUCUCCAGAAUGGCUAUGCUCCCAGGGUAGAGUUCAACACCAGCUCCCUGCCAAGUGGACACAGGGAAACAGUCGGCAAGCCACGGAGAGACUCCUCCCCCCCGGUGAGCACACUGGGACACGGGUGCAUACAUACGGAUUCCUUCACAGACACCCCGGCCGCUGCUCCCACCCACGUGAAUGCUCUAUCUAGAGUACAGACACCUUCAGUGUUCCAGUCGUUUAACAUAACCUCGUGCAAAUCCCUGGUGAGUUUCCUCAUCAUAGUGGAAGUUAAGCCAAGUCCUGUGGAGAAAGCUCCUCUUUCUCACUCAGUUCUCCAGCCCACUCGGGACAUUCGUGACUGCUGCCUUUUGGAUUAUUCAAAACACUGCCAGAACUAAUCACAAGUCUAAGAACCUGCAAGUAGCUUUUUCUGUGUUUCAUAACCAUCAUAUAACUGACUCAUGACCUGUGUUAUAUACACUGAUUUCUAACUUUUUUUUAAUUUUUAUUUUUAAAACUUUUUUUUUUUAUUAGAGUUAGUGAGAGAGAGAGACAGAAAUGUCUUCCUUCCAUUGGUUCACCCCCAAAUGGCCACUACAGCCAGAACUACGCCGAUCCGAAGCCAGGAGCCAGGUGCUUCUCCUGGUCUCCCAUGCGGGUGCAGGGCCCAAGCACUUGGGCCAUCCUCCACUGCACUGCUGGGCCACAGCAAAGAGCUGGACUGGAAGAGGAGCAACCGGGACAGAAUCCAGCGCCCAUGUGGGAUGCCGGCACCACAGGCGGAGGAUUAACCAAGUGAGCCACGACACUGGCCCUGAUUUCUAACUUUUUAAAAAAUCACAUUUAAAGUAAAGCUAAGGGGGCAGGCACUGUGGCUCAAUGGGUUAAAGCCACAGCCUGCAGCACGAGCAUCCCAUAAGGGCACCGGUUCAAAUCCUGGCUGCUCCACUUCUGAUCCAACUUCCUGCUAAUAUGUCUGAGAAAGCAGCAGAGGAUGGACCAAGUGCUUGGGCCCCUGUACCCACGUGGGAGACCCAGAAGAAGCUCCUGGGUCCUGACUUGAGCCUGUCCUAGCCUUGGCUGUUUUGGCCAUUUGGGGAGUGAACCAGUGGAUGGAAGAUUCUUUCGUUCUGCCUUUCAAAUAAAUAAAAACGGAAAAAGAAAAAAAAAAAAAAAACAGCUAAGGGCUGGCAUCGUGGCACAGAGAGUUAAGGGGAAGCUGUGACAGUGACAGUGGCAUCCCAUUGGAGUGCUAGCUGAGUCCUGCUGUUCUUCCCAUCCAGCUCCCCGCUAAUGCUCAUGGGAAAGCAGCAGAAGAUGGCCCAAGUGCUUGGGAGACCUGGAUGGAGAUCCAAGCUCCUGGUUUUUUGACUUGGCCUAGCCCAGCCCAAGCUACUGCAGCCACUUAGGGAGAGAACCAGCAAGUCAAAGAGUCAUCCUAAUUUUCUCUCUUUUUCUCUCUGCCUUCCAAAUAAAUAAAUCCUUUAAAAAAAAAAAAAAAACAGUUCCCUACUCUGGGCUCUGCAGUUGACUUUCCUAAAAGUACAGUGACACUGGCCUGACGUACACCCAUUGCUGAAUUUAACUGUAAUUCUAUCAAAUAUUCAAAGUCAGCUCUCGCCCCUUGUUGCAUGGGCUCGCUCAGGGUUGCUGUGGUCACGUGAAGCCCCACGCUCUGCAGGGUGCAGUACCUGGGCCCCCGUUAUCUCACUGUCUGUGACUGUCAAGGCGGCCCCCGUGAGCACACACACUCCUGUUCCUUCACAUUUUAGCACGCAGUUCUCCAGAGUCAGGUGGCCAGACUCCACCACCACAAUGCCAUCGACUGUGCCUUGUUGUAUCAGAGACAGAUGCAUCAGCUUAACGUUGUCGGCUUUGGACACCACAAAGCUGUCGUGAGAAGGCUCGGAAGUGAUCAGGAUGUCCUCUCGCCUGCCAACUCCUAGUUCACAGGGACGAGAACACACGGCCAGUUAGCCUGCAGGAUGUUUCAGUGUCUGCCAUUGUCUUAACAAUUGCGGAUGUGAUUAUUCAGUUGUUAGCCAAGUAAAUACCUAACUAUGAUGUCAUAUUUCAUCUUUAUUCUGCUGCCAUGAUGGGAAGAUCUGCGUUAUGAAUGGGCCUAUGGAUUCUUUCAUUAUAAAUACUCAUACUUCCCAAUCUUACAAUUAACAGUCAUGUCCGAGAUACACAAAAUAGGCCAUGGUUCAAUAAUCGUCAGACAAAGACUAGCAGAGACUCCUGAGUUAAAGUACAUAUGAGAAUAUUUCAAAAAGAUUGUGGAAAUUUUGAAUUAAUUUGGUGCAAAAAGUUUUGAAAUCCUUACAUAUUUUCUCCACUUUCUAUAAACUUUUUGAAGACCCUGGAUCAUAUUGCCCACACAGUUCAGCAGAAUACUGCUUCCUACAGUCAUCAAAAUAAAGCAAAGAUUUUGCUUGAUUUUGAAAUUGAUCAGUGAAUGUUACUGUUUGAAUAAGCUCUGACCCAUGAAUUCAUGCAACAGCUUAAACCCCAAAGUUCUAAACGGCACUAAGUGGGUGUCUGCUUAACCCAGUUAAGAUGCUCACAGGGAGCCUUCGGGAAGUGGCUGUGCCUGGACUAGUUUUGAGCCUGUGGUUGAAUCUGGUGCUUUCUCAGGAGAGAGCCCGCAGACUGAACGCACAACACGCCCUCCCCCUCUCCAUCGUGAUGUGUGCUGCUGCCUUGGGACUCUGCCAACCAAGGCCCCGACACCUCGUACCUCCAGAAUGAGGAGCUGUAAUAAGCUUCUUUUCUGUAUGAAGGUAACCUGCCUGCUUCAAGUAUUUUGUUAGAGUAAAAAAAGCUAACACUGCAGUUUGGGUCAGCAUCUCUGUUCUUGUGGCAAGACAGACAACGGGAAUACCUCUACUGUGAAGUUAAAGGGACAGGUACUAAAUAAGUUUAGAAUCUGCUAUUCUGCUUCUGUUUUGGUAGGCCACCAUGUGAGCCAGCCUUUUUGAGAAAAUGCUGAGUAUAGUUUAAUGUAGCCUUACAACUCAGAUUCCUGCUAGAGUCAUGGUGAAGAGCAGUGGAGAUAAAAUGGUUCUACAAAACAGAUGGAGCUGGUAGAAAAUGCGGUGAGCAGAUGCUACGUGUGAGACACAUAAGGUAACUUUUGUGAUGUCACUCUGACAUUGAUCAGGUUAAUAACAGUUUAUCUAGCAUACAUUGAUUUAAGAAAAGCCACAGAGAACGCGCUGCAAACCCCUUAUGACGAUGUCCUCAGUGAGCACAGCGAGGUUCGAAGCCUGGUACUCUCCCGGGAAGAUGACCACGGUGUCCCCGCUGUAACAGCUGUCCAGAGCCACGUCCAGGUCGCCGUGCUGUUGCAGGAGAGUGUCUGAGGACAAGCCCUUCACCUGAAAAAGCAGACCAGGUGCCCCCUUCAACAGCAGGAAUGCUGGGUGUUUGAACAUUAAAGACGGGAUCCCCUCCUAAGCCUCACAACAGUUCUUGGAGAAACUAGAAAAGGAAGACCACACUAGGCCCAGAGCUCACAGAAGAAAAUAAUCAGGAUUAAAGGAGAGAUCACUGAACUCCUAAACUCAAAAACAGAAUCAGUGAAAUCAGAAGUUGGUUUAUUGAGAAGAUCCACAAAACUGACAAACUUUCAGCCAAACUGGCUAAGAUAAAACAGAAGGCACAAAUGACUGAGUGAAAAUGAGGACGUUGCCGUCAACUUUAUGGAAGUCGUGAUGACUUUAGGAGUAUUCUGUGAACAAUUGUAUACCAAUAAAGAUUAGGAACCCAAACUCCUAGGGACAUAUAAAUUUCCAAAACUGACUCAACAAAUAGAAAAUCUGAACAGAUGACGCUGAUAAUCAAAACCUUCCCAGCAAAGAAAAUCCAGGACAAGGGCGUUUCACUGGUAAGUUCAACCAAACAUCUAAAGAAUUAACACCACACUAGCCAGAGGCCCAGAUGAAAACCACAGACCAAUCCACGUAAAAUCCCACAAUGAAAUAUCCCUAGAGGUGGCAGACUGGAGAAGCAGCGUUUGACAAAGUCCAACAGUGUUUCAGGAUUAAAGAAAAAACACUCAGGAAAUGGGAUGGGGGGCUUCUUCACACGAUAAAGGCAGUUUAUGGAAAGCCCACAGCACCACCACACUCAGCGCUGAGAGCUGACAGCCACCCCAGGUGUUGUUUUCUAGGGCUGCCGUUACAAAACACGAUGGAGCUGGUGACUUCAGAACCAGACGUUUUUCCCACGAGACGGAGCUGCCAGCAGUUUGGUUUCUUCCGAGCCCUCUCGGCUCCGGUGGCUUCCUCGGCACCUGCUCAUCUCUGUGCAUAGCCUUGCUGUCACCUUCUGAGCCCAAACCCCAGUGGCUGCAUUUUCACGUCAUCGCCUCUUUAAAGACCUGGGUGCUGGGCGCUAGGAGCUGCCAAGUCUUCUGGUAAGAUCCCUGAGGGCAGGAGAAAGACAAGGGCGCCCACCUGGACCACUGGUGCUCAACACGGUACUGACGUUUCCAGCCAAAGCGACUGGCAGGAGCGAGAACAAGCAACUGCGCAGGAAAGGAGGAAGCAAAGCCAGCACUGCAUCCCGGGGCACGAACAGCAGGGCGGCCAUAGUGAAGGCGUUCAGCUUUGUGGACGGGACGCUAGGGCACACGUGAUUACUCACAUGGGUCUAACUCCCUAUGGGAUAGAAUCCACUACUCUCUCUUACAGAUCAAGGAAUAUGAAAUAACAGGUAACUUACUUAAUUUCACAUAAAUAGUAGGAAGCAAAACCUUUAGUCAAACUCAGAUUUUUAAGAUUCAAGGCCUGUGUCUUGGGGGUUCUUGUGGCAUCAUGGUUUAAGGUGCUGUCUGCAGUGCCAGCAUCCCACGUGGGCGCCCAUUCAAGUCCUGGCUGCUCCACUUCCCAUCCAGCUCCCUACUGUGGCCUGGGAAAGCAGUGGAGGAUGGCCCAAGUGCUUGGGCCCUGCACCUGCAUGGGAGACCCGGAAGAAGCUCCUGGCUCCUGGCUUCAGCCUCGCCCAAACGCGGCUGCUGUGACCAUCUGGGGGGAAUGCAGUGGACAGAGAUCUCUAAUUCUGCCUUUCAAAUAAAUACAAUAAAUCUUAAAAAAAAAAAAAAAAAAAGCAGGCCUAUGUCUCCACUGCCACACCAUACUUUUUCCACAAAACUCUUUGGAAAAACAUAAGGAAGGAGCCACAGCCCAGAGACCUGUGCUCAACAAAGAGUAAAGCACUGUUCCUGACGGGCCUCGAGCCCAGGCACCGGGCU